rnacentral:rRNA from 1 species
UACGUAGGGUGCAAGCGUUGUCCGGAAUUAUUGGGCGUAAAGAGCUCGUAGGCGGUUUGUCGCGUCGAAUGUGAAAACCCGGGGCUCAACCCCGGGCCUGCAUUCGAUACGGGCAGACUAGAGUUCGGUAGGGGAGUCUGGAAUUCCUGGUGUAGCGGUGAAAUGCGUAGAGAUGUGGAGGAACACCGAUGGCGAAGGCAGCCUCCUGGGCCAACACUGACGCUCAUGCACGAAAGCGCGGGGAGCAAACAGG